rnacentral:rRNA from 1 species
UACGUAGGGGGCUAGCGUUGUCCGGAAUCAUUGGGCGUAAAGAGCGUGUAGGCGGUCCGGUAAGUCCGCUGUGAAAGUCGGGGGCUCAACCCUCGAAUGCCGGUGGAUACUGUCGGGCUAGAGUGCGGAAGAGGCGAGUGGAAUUCCUGGUGUAGCGGCGAAAUGCGCAGAUAUCAGGAGGAACACCUAUUGCGAAGGCAGCUCGCUGGGACGUUACUGACGCUGAGACGCGAAAGCGUGGGGAGCAAACAGG